rnacentral:rRNA from 1 species
UACGGAGGGGGCAAACGUUGUUCGGAAUUACUGGGCGUAAAGGGUGCGUAGGCGGUUCGGCAAGUCUGAUGUGAAAUCUCCUCGCUCAACGAGGAAACGGCAUUGGAAACUGCCGGGCUGGAGGAUGGGAGAGGCAGGUGGAAUUCCUGGUGUAGCGGUGGAAUGCGUAGAUAUCAGGAAGAACACUCGUGGCGAAGGCGGCCUGCUGGCCCAUUUCUGACGCUCAAGCACGAAAGCCAGGGGAGCAAACGGG